UGGGGAAUAUUGGACAAUGGGCGAAAGCCUGAUCCAGCCAUGCCGCGUGUGUGAAGAAGGUCUUCGGAUUGUAAAGCACUUUAAGUUGGGAGGAAGGGCAGUAAGCGACUACCUUGCUGUUUUGACGUUACCGACAGAAUAAGCACCGGCUAACUCUGUGCCAGCAGCCGCGGUAAUACAGAGGGUGCAAGCGUUAAUCGGAAUUACUGGGCGUAAAGCGCGCGUAGGUGGUUCGUUAAGUUGAAUGUGAAAGCCCCGGGCUCAACCUGGGAACUGCAUCCAAAACUGGCGAGCUAGAGUAGGGCAGAGGGUGGUGGAAUUUCCUGUGUAGCGGUGAAAUGCGUAGAUAUAGGAAGGAACACCAGUGGCGAAGGCGACCACCUGGGCUCAUACUGACACUGAGGUGCGAAAGCGUGGGGAGCAAACAGG
rnacentral:rRNA from 1 species